AUGAGUAGGUUUACACGCGGAGUAGUUUACACCUCGGCUCCGGUGCCUUCGGACACAUCUAGAUGUUUCGAGAACAUCUGGGGGGGGGGGGCAAGGGGGGGCACAUAAACACACUUCAGGACUGGCUCGACGGGAAUAAACGAAAGGAACGGGCGAGCGAGAGCCCGAGUAAGGAUGCAGUCUCCUCUCUUCAUUGUUUGAUCACACCAAGAUAGAUGCUAUGCAAAUCAUCACGCAAGACUAGAGAUACUUUGAGGAGCGCUCUUCACAGCUGCAAACCAGG
rnacentral:lncRNA from 1 species